AGGGGUCUGGUCCUGUGUUCGAGUUCGCCCAUGAACGAUGGAAGCGCGCUCCCGAUACUUCAGGUGAAUGAGAGGGAAGCAGAGGAGCGGGAUACGGUUCACUGUGCGUCGCAUUAAAAAGGAACAAUUAGAGGAAAAUGAGUUGUGUUACGUCGCUUUGGGCGCAUGUUUUUAUGACAACACAUCUACUCUUCGUGAUGGGAUGCGUUGCACAAAAAGUGUACUUUGACUGUGGUGCCAAGGUGGACGUGGUGGACGUCCAAGGACUCAUUCUGUCCCCUGGCUUCCCCAACAACUACUCCUCUGGGACACACUGCGUUUGGCAGUUCUUUGUGCCUGUUGAUUACCAGCUUAUUCUGGAGAUAUUUGACUUUGAUGUGUUUGAAAGCCAUGACUUCGCUGCACAGUACUCUGCUAUCUCUAAUUUUGAAGAGUCAGACGAAGAGGUGAUUUUCACUCCUGGCAUCUUAGCGGCAGAUGAAACUUCAUCAGCAGCUAAAGAUCCCAUGUUUCAGAGUGUCGGGGACGUCACAAAGACUCAGCAGACUUCCCAAGAUGGUGAGGUCAAGCAAGUAGUGGUCCAGGAACAGUCCACAAAGAUGGAGAUUGCCAAAGUCUCAAAUUCUGCCAAAAGAUCUGCGGAUGCCUCCUCUGGCCUGUCUUCGCCACCUCCUCCCUCUCUCCUGCUCCUACCUGGGACUGUGACUUCAGGAGACAUGGCUGCCUCUUCGUCUCACCUCAGGGGAGACCUCACCCCCAGUUCUGACCCAAGCACAGUUGUGGAGGAGACCACCCUUGCCUCGCCACAUUCCUCUGACACUCCAGCUAUGAGCCUGGAACCCCAGCACUCGGUGCUUGACGCCUGCCCCCACGAUGUCCUCUACAUCUCAGACCUCAUCACCUUCUCCUCCAGGUUCUGUGGGUCCAACCGGCCUCCCAGCAGCCAGCUGGUUUUCGGCUCCAGCCAGGAGAUGGUGGAGGUCAUCAUGGAGCUCAUCACCACCACCCACUGGGGCCGUGGCUUCGCUCUUCUCUUCCACUACCACAACCUGACCGAGCCAGGGGGGGACCGCCGUGCUGCUGCUCCCACAGCCAGCAAGGUUGAUUCUUUGCUGGCUGCUGUGAGCGGAGCUGCCUUCUUUGCAAUGAUACUGACAAGUGCCCUCUGCGUCGUUUUCAGACCCAAACUGUGUCCGAAAAGAGCCAGCUCCUGUGCGUCCAGCAACUCUGAGGUGCCAGUGGGAGUCCAGAACACCGGGGCUGAGGUCAGCGAGCUGCAGCUGAUUGCUGAGAAUCAGACCGACCUGGAAGUGACCAUAGAGCAGGACAACAACAACGACAGCCCGCGGCACACAGUCAGUGCUGGCGGUGACAUUUCCCAGAGUGCAGAGGUGGACCUCUCCUGCAGCGGUUUGACUGAACUCGACCUUGGUGCGGAUGAGGUUUUCAUUGUAUCUUCAGCCUCUAGCCCGAGCAGCCUACCCUUCUCACCUCACACACAGCGGGAGAGGUUUCUGCGGCACAGUGACACGGGUCCCAGCCCUGCAGGUGACUGGCACUCACCAGACUCCACCUCACCAAACGGCACCAGGUCCUCCAAGGACGGCAGCGGUGGCUGUGCCAGACCGAGAGCGUGGAGCGUACGCACCUUCCAGGACUUCCUCCCUCCUCUGCCGCAGCUGCACAAGAAGUGGUGCAGCUGGAACUCCAACAGUCCCUUCACCAAGCUGGUGGACAGCACUCCAUCCAGUUUGGUAGCUGACUGCAAAGGGGACCACGGCAGGAUUGUCUUCUCCGAUGUUCAACUGGACGCUAAGGCAGACAACAGCACCAUCUCUGACUCAUCCAUCAGCAAUGCCUCCUACCCGCUUUCACAGCCCGCCCAGAGGCAGCGGCGCCUCAACUCCAUCAGCAACUUGCGGCGCUCGCGCUUCACUGGGCCUUGCUUUGGCUUGCUUUCUGGGACGGCAGACCCAACAAAGGCAUCCGGGGUUCCUCAUGCCCAGGGAUCCCCCUCAGAGCCAAGCUCUGUCUCUUCGUCCUCCACCCAGAGUCAGAUCGAGAGCGGCCAGGCCGCAAAGAGGUGCGAGUUCCAAGGCGAGGCUGACCACAUCAGCGUGCCGGUGUUUGCCAUCUCUGAGGAGGAGGACCGGCAGCCUCUGGUCUCAGCUGAGCACCUGGAGCAGACCUCCGCCGUGCUGAAUGGAUUGGUCAAGGGGACAUAUGAGGGGAAUGGGCCUGCCAGCCUCAGCUCCCAAAGGGCCAGACCAGAGUGGAGGCCAUGGGGAAGCCAGGUGUCAGGAGGAGUUGGUGCACUCCCUUCCAACACACUCGCCACCAUGAGCGAGUCCGGCACAGUCAAUGACAGCCAGCCGUCUUUCAGUCAGUCCACAGUGCUGUGCAGUGUGAUCAACCACAUGUGAUCAGACGGGCUUUACGUUGGUGACAAGAGCAGGGACUCUGGUGGGCCACGUCCGCAUCUCUGAACUCUGUUAGUGCCACUUUGUGAAACAUAUAUAACCUACUUUUACAACAUGAUAACUACAUAUACUGUAGCCUGUCUUCUCACUCUAGUUGUUUUCUAUUUUUAUAAAUUGUGUUUGUACAAAGAUGGAAUAUUAUGCUGCUUACUGUGCCAAGGCAAUGACUGCUGUGGCAAUAUGUCUAAAAAAAAUCAUUAUUGAUUGCAAACAUGAUCAAAAAAGUAUUUUCUUAUUGAGUACUCCAGAACCCCUCAACUCGUAGGAGCACCUUAGAACCGGUUUGAUGCUAUUCAGUGAGUUCUAAUACUCCAACCAUUGCACUUUGCUUUCAGUAGCUCAUUCAUGUUGAGCCAGCUUCUGCUUUCUCCUUAAUGUGGUUAUUACUUUCAACACAAGCUUAUACAAUGACUUAUUACCCAGAAGUGUUCUGCAGAGCACGUAGAACGCACAUUAAUAUAAAUGUUGCAACAGUGUGCUGACUGUACUGUUGAGGCUUAUACUGGAUUAUAAAAGGGAAAUCAAAAUAAAGUAAACGCAUAUAGAGUACUAAUAUGUAGUAUAAAGAGAACUAGAAAUCACAAUAGUAUUUAAAAUGAGUUAUGAAUUAAUGUAAAGUUUUAAUAAAGGCUAUGUCAUUCACAUGUCGUGUCCUUUUUCUGAUGCGAGCCGUCAAAGAGCAGGAAACUCCUGAUCCAGCAGCUGUCCAUGUGUUGGAUGUGUACGCCCCACACUUCAGGAAAUGCAGACGCAAAGAUGUCUUCUCAGUUUGUGUGCGCUGGAGGUGCCGUAAUGCCAUAAAUCAUAGUGCAUAGUACAGUAUGUCACAACUAGAUGUGUUGCCUUUGCAGUUGUUUGCAAGUCAAGUUUAAAGUUUCCAAAAUGUCAGCACUUAGUUCAGCAAAUUAAUUCUUGAGUUAUGACCCAAAAACAUGUUUUAUGAUCUUUGACCACCAACUUCUAAUCAUUCAUCCUUUAGUCCAAGUGGAUGUUUGUGCCACAUGUUAUGAAAUUCCCGAGAUAUUACAUUCAUGAGAAUGUGCCUUCGGCCUGUCGCCAACGUGGAGGCAUAGAAAUGUCAGAAUAGUAUGCCAUUAAAACAAUUCAUAAUAUAGCAUGCUAUUAAAUAAUGUAACGUCCUGAAUCUGUCUCAUGCAGAUGGAAUUACAAAGAUCAAGGACUUCAAGCUUCAACUUUCGAUAGUGUUACUAUAAUCGAUUAAUAAAUGGUAUUUAUGUAGCAUUGAUCCAGAGUCAGUGUCUGCCAUACAAGGUGCACAUCAGCUCUACCUGCUGAGCCACAGCCGCCCAUCGACACCCUGACACCCUUCCAGAUGUUUU
ensembl:lncRNA uncharacterized LOC115012973